ACAUCCAGAGAAUUUAGCAGAGAUGCUUUAGUGCCUUCGGGAACUCUGAGACAGGUGCUGCAUGGCUGUCGUCAGCUCGUGUUGUGAAAUGUUGGGUUAAGUCCCGCAACGAGCGCAACCCUUAUCCUUUGUUGCCAGCACGUAAUGGUGGGAACUCAAAGGAGACUGCCGGUGAUAAACCGGAGGAAGGUGGGGAUGACGUCAAGUCAUCAUGGCCCAUACGAGUAGGGCUACACACGUGCUACAAUGGCGUAUACAAAGAGAAGCGACCUCGCGAGAGCAAGCGGACCUCAUAAAGUGCGUCGUAGUCCGGAUUGGAGUCUGCAACUCGACUCCAUGAAGUCGGAAUCGCUAGUAAUCGUAAAUCAGAAUGUUACGGUGAAUACGUUCCCGGGCCUUGUACACACCGCCCGUCACACCAUGGGAGUGGGUUGCAAAAGAAGUAGAUAGCUUAACCUUCGGGAGGGCGUUUACCACUUUGUGAUUCAUGACUGGGGUGAAGUCGUAACAAGGUAAGCGUAGUGCU
rnacentral:rRNA from 1 species